rnacentral:rRNA from 1 species
GUGCCAGCCGCCGCGGUAAUACGAAGGGGUCUAGCGUUGCUCGGAAUCACUGGGCGUAAAGGGUGCGUAGGCGGGUCUUUAAGUCAGGGGUGAAAUCCUGGAGCUCACUCCAGAACUGCCUUUGAUACUGAAGAUCUUGAGUUCGGGAGAGGUGAGUGGAACUGCGAGUGUAGAGGUGAAAUUCGUAGAUAUUCGCAAGAACACCAGUGGCGAAGGCGGCUCACUGGCCCGAUACUGACGCUGAGGCACGAAAGCGUGGGGAGCAAACAG